AACGAACGCUGGCGGCGUGCCUAACACAUGCAAGUCGAACGAGAAAGGCGCUUCUGCUCCGAGUCAAGUGGCGCACGGGUGGGUAACACGUGGGUAACCUGCCUCUAAGAUUGGGAUAACUCCUCGAAAGAUGAGCUACUACCGACUAAGACCACAGCCUGCGCCGGAACAGGGGUCGAAGGUAGCCUCUGCUUGCAAACUAUCACUUAGAGAUGGGCCUGCGGACCAUUGGCUAGUUUGUCGGGUAAUGGCACACCAAGGCAAAGAUGGUUAGCUGGUCUGAGGUGAUGGUCAGCCACACUGGAAGUGAGACACGGUCCAGACGCCUACGGGAGGCAGCAGGGGGGAUUAGGGCGCAAGGGGCGAAAGCUUUACGCAGCUAGGCGGAGUGAGGGAGGAAGGCCUUCGGGUCGGAGAGCUCUGUCGGGGGGAACGAAUGCUCCUGAGGUUAACAGGCACGGUAGGUGACGGUACCGUGAAAGGAAGCACCGGCUAACUCUGUG
rnacentral:rRNA from 1 species